AUGGUGCUGGGCCUGGAGGAAGAGCUCACCAACCCGUGCCCUGGCCUGAGGACACCACGGCGUCUCUCUCCCCAGAGGAGAGGCCUGUGGGAGCAGAGCUGGCCCAGCUCCAGGACUGUGGGUACCAGGGCCUUUUGUUGGCAGGAGCCGGAACCCCGUGUCCCUUCUCUGCCCACUGAGCUGCAGAGGUCCAGGUUCAUACGGACGCGAUUCCACAAAGAAGACCAAAUCUCAAUGCUCUCAGCAAGUCGGUCCCAGGGAAGCCAAGGGCCCCUCUUCCACAGGAUGGUUUCCACAGCAACCAGCCCAGGCUUGCCGGGGGCUGGCUGGGAGGUCAGGGGCUGCCAGAGUUCCUGGGAAGGGGAUUCCAGUCCUCCAGGAAGAGGCUCAGGAUUUCCUCCUAGGAAACAGUGGGAGGGUGCAUGGGGAAAGUCCCCGGGGACUUUUCCAGGGCCACCGGCACAGUGCCCUCCCAGGCUCUUCCUGCCCCCACGGUCCUGCUCCCCACCCCUGCCCACCAGAGUGCUCGGAGCUCCCCACGCGGGGGGAGUGAGGAGCAGCACACGACUUCCUGUUUCCUCACUUGGUGCCUUUUGCACAACUGCCCGUGGAGGCUGGCGGUACAGCGCCGGGCUCAGGCCUCUCGGUGAACCGUCUUUGUUAAAGCCCCCACCAGCUGCGGAGCUGCUGGGGACAAGUCUGAGGCGGAGCGCGUCUUGGGAAGUCCCCUUGGGUAGCAGCUGGCUGGGGCAGGUGGGGGGCAGUGCCAGGCCGGACCUGGCAGGAAGUAGAUGGCUACAUUAGGCAGGUCCCUGGAGGGGCACUGAACAAAGGGAUUAUUUAAAGAACAUGGUGGGCUUGAAACUGGGCAGUCUGGGUGGCUGGGGCAGCAGGAGGCAGUUGUGUCCCCAGACCUGGGGGUGUGGGUAGGAGAGCCCUGGAUAUGAGUAGCGGCUGCCCACAAGAGGACCUGGGAGCCUCGGGAUCAGCAGGGGUCUCCAGGGAAUUGAUCCACAGGACACAGGACACAGUCCGCCCUCCACAGCUACUGGUUCUACACCCUUGGAUCCACCUAUGAG
rnacentral:lncRNA from 1 species